CCUACGGGAGGCAGCAGUGGGGAAUAUUGGGCAAUGGGCGCAAGCCUGACCCAGCAACGCCGCGUGAAGGAAGAAGGCUUUCGGGUUGUAAACUUCUUUUCUCAGGGACGUAGAAAGUGACGGUACCUGAGGAAUAAGCCACGGCUAACUACGUGCCAGCAGCCGCGGUAAUACGUAGGUGGCAAGCGUUAUCCGGAUUUAAUGGGCGUAAAGGGUGUGUAGGCGGAUAUGUAGGAUAGCGGUGAAAUGCCGGGGCUCAACCCCGGAACUGCCAUUAUGACUAUGUGUCUUGAGUAAUGGAGAGGAAAGCGGAAUGCCCGGUGUAGAGGUGAAAUUCGUAGAUAUUAGGUAGAACACCGGUGGCGAAGGCGGCUAUCUGGCCAGUAACUGACGCUGAGGCUCGAAAGCAUGGGGAUCAAACAGGAUUAGAUACCCGAGUAGUC
rnacentral:rRNA from 1 species